UGAUAGGUGGGAUGUUUCAAGGUACAUAAAUAUGUCUUAAGUCAUUGAAUGAUCAUCAUAAGUCCUUGAUCAACUUAAUGAUUUUUUUUUAAUUUAAUCCUUUUUUGUUGUUAGAAUUGCUUAGGAGCAUUAGAUGAGACAUAUAUUAGUGUGUCUGUAAAAUUUGAUGAAAGACCAAAAUAUAGAAAAAGAAAGGGCAACCUUGCAAUGAAUGUUUUAGGAGUUUGUUCACCUAACAUGCAAUUUAUUUACGUGUCACCUAGAUGGGAGGGUUCAGCACA
rnacentral:misc_RNA from 1 species